rnacentral:rRNA from 1 species
UACAGAGGGUGCGAGCGUUGUCCGGAAUCACUGGGCGUAAAGGGCGCGUAGGCGGCCCGGUAAGGUUGCGGUGAAAGCCCGGGGCUCAACCCCGGGUCGGCCGUGGCAACUGCUGGGCUGGAGCACAGUAGAGGCAGGUGGAAUUCCGGGUGUAGCGGUGGAAUGCGUAGAGAUCCGGAAGAACACCGGUGGCGAAGGCGGCCUGCUGGGCAGUAGCUGACGCUGAGGCGCGACAGCGUGGGGAGCAAACAGG